rnacentral:rRNA from 1 species
GACGAACGCUGGCGGCGUGCUUAACACAUGCAAGUCGAACGAGAAUCUAUGGAAAGAGGAUUCGUCCAAUUGAAAUAGAGGACAGUGGCGGACGGGUGAGUAACGCGUGAGGAACCUGCCUUUCAGAGGGGGACAACAGUUGGAAACGACUGCUAAUACCGCAUAAGCCCACGGGUCGGCAUCGACCAGAGGGAAAAGGAGCAAUCCGCUUUGAGAUGGCCUCGCGUCCGAUUAGCUAGUUGGUGAGGUAACGGCCCACCAAGGCAACGAUCGGUAGCCGGACUGAGAGGUUGAACGGCCACAUUGGGACUGAGACACGGCCCAGACUCCUACGGGAGGCAGCAGUGGGGAAUAUUGCACAAUGGGGGAAACCCUGAUGCAGCGACGCCGCGUGGAGGAAGAAGGGUCUUCGGAUUGUAAACUCCUGUUGUUGGGGAAGAUAAUGACGGUACCCAACAAGGAAGUGACGGCUAACUACGUG